rnacentral:ncRNA from 1 species
ACCGGGGAAGCCGAAAACCGGAUUUAGAGUAGGCG